rnacentral:rRNA from 1 species
AGUUCGGAUUGGAGUCUGNAACCCGACUCCAUGAAGCUGGAUUCGCUAGUAAUCGCGCAUCAGCCACGGCGCGGUGAAUACGUUCCCGGGCCUUGUACACACCGCCCGCCAAGCCAUGGAAGCCGGGAGUGCCUGAAGUACGCGACCGCAAGGAGCGUCCUAAGGUAAAACCGGUGACUGGGGCUAAGUCGUAACAAGGUAAC